UACGGAGGGUGCAAACGUUGCUCGGAAUCAUUGGGCGUAAAGCGCACGUAGGCGGUCCAGCAAGUCGGGUGUGAAAGCCCUCGGCUUAACCGAGGAAGUGCAUUCGAAACUACUGGACUUGAAUACUGGAGAGGAUCGCGGAAUUCCCGGUGUAGAGGUGAAAUUCGUAGAUAUCGGGAGGAACACCAGUGGCGAAGGCGGCGAUCUGGACAGAUAUUGACGCUGAGGUGCGAAAGCGUGGGGAGCGAACAGG
rnacentral:rRNA from 1 species